rnacentral:rRNA from 1 species
GACGAACGCUGGCUGCGUGCUUAACACAUGCAAGUCGAACGCUGAAGCCAGAAGCUUGCUUCUGGUGGAUGAGUGGCGAACGGGUGAGUAACACGUGAGUAACCUGCCCCCGAUUUCGGGAUAAGCCCGGGAAACUGGGUCUAAUACCGGAUACGACCAAUCCUCGCAUGAGGGUUGGUGGAAAGUUUUUCGAUCGGGGAUGGGCUCGCGGCCUAUCAGCUUGUUGGUGGGGUAAUGGCCUACCAAGGCGACGACGGGUAGCCGGCCUGAGAGGGCGACCGGCCACACUGGGACUGAGACACGGCCCAGACUCCUACGGGAGGCAGCAGUGGGGAAUAUUGCACAAUGGGGAAACCCUGAUGCAGCGACGCAGCGUGCGGGAUGACGGCCUUCGGGUUGUAAACCGCUUUCAGCAGGGAAGAAGCGAAAGUGACGGUACCUGCAGAAGAAGUACCGGCUAACUACGUGCCAGCCGCCGCUGUAA